UACGAAGGGGGCUAGCGUUGCUCGGAAUCACUGGGCGUAAAGCGCACGUAGGCGGAUUGUUAAGUCAGGGGUGAAAUCCUGGAGCUCAACUCCAGAACUGCCUUUGAUACUGGCGAGCUUGAGUCCGGGAGAGGUGAGUGGAACUGCGAGUGUAGAGGUGAAAUUCGUAGAUAUUCGCAAGAACACCAGUGGCGAAGGCGGGUCUCUGGGCCGAAAUUGACGCUGAGGAGCGAAAGCGUGGGGAGCGAACAGG
rnacentral:rRNA from 1 species